UUAUGGCUCAGAACGAACGCUGGCGGCGUGCUUAACACAUGCAAGUCGAACGCGAAAGGGACUUCGGUCCUGAGUAAAGUGGCGCACGGGUGAGUAACGCGUAGAUAACCUGUCUUCAUGUCUGGAAUAAUACGCCGAAAGGGGUACUAAUACCGGAUAUUCUUGCUUUUCAUAAGUUAUGCAAGCAAAGGUGGCCUCUGCAUAUGCUACUGCAUGAAGAGGGGUCUGCGUACCAUUAGCUAGUAGGUGGGGUAAUGGCCUACCUAGGCGACGAUGGUUAGCGGGUCUGAGAGGAUGAUCCGCCACACUGGCACUGGAACACGGGCCAGACUCCUACGGGAGGCAGCAGUGAGGAAUAUUGCGCAAUGGGGGAAACCCUGACGCAGCGACGCCGCGUGAAGUGAGGAAGGCCUUCGGGUCGUAAAGCUCUGUCAAGAGGAAAGAAGUGUACAAUGGCUAAUACCUGUUGUAUUUGACGGUACCUCUAAAGGAAGCACCGGCUAACUCCGUGCCAGCCGCCGC
rnacentral:rRNA from 1 species